GACGAACGCUGUCGGCGUGCUUAACACAUGCAAGUCGAACGGAAAGGCCCUGCUUUUGUGGGGUGCUCGAGUGGCGAACGGGUGAGUAACACGUGAGUAACCUGCCCUUGACUUUGGGAUAACUUCGGGAAACUGGGGCUAAUACCGGAUAGGAGCUCCUGCUGCAUGGUGGGGGUUGGAAAGUUUCGGCGGUUGGGGAUGGACUCGCGGCUUAUCAGCUUGUUGGUGGGGUAGUGGCUUACCAAGGCUUUGACGGGUAGCCGGCCUGAGAGGGUGACCGGCCACAUUGGGACUGAGAUACGGCCCAGACUCCUACGGGAGGCAGCAGUGGGGAAUAUUGCACAAUGGGCGGAAGCCUGAUGCAGCAACGCCGCGUGCGGGAUGACGGCCUUCGGGUUGUAAACCGCUUUCGCCUGUGACGAAGCGUGAGUGACGGUAAUGGGUAAAGAAGCACCGGCUAACUACGUGCCAGCAGCCGCGGUGAUACGUAGGGUGCGAGCGUUGUCCGGAUUUAUUGGGCGUAAAGGGCUCGUAGGUGGUUGAUCGCGUCGGAAGUGUAAUCUUGGGGCUUAACCCUGAGCGUGCUUUCGAUACGGGUUGACUUGAGGAAGGUAGGGGAGAAUGGAAUUCCUGGUGGAGCGGUGGAAUGCGCAGAUAUCAGGAGGAACACCAGUGGCGAAGGCGGUUCUCUGGGCCUUUCCUGACGCUGAGGAGCGAAAGCGUGGGGAGCGAACAGGCUUAGAUACCCUGGUAGUCCACGCUGUAAACGGUGGGUACUAGGUGUGGGGUCCAUUCCACGGGUUCCGUGCCGUAGCUAACGCUUUAAGUACCCCGCCUGGGGAGUACGGCCGCAAGGCUAAAACUCAAAGGAAUUGACGGGGCCCCGCACAAGCGGCGGAGCAUGCGGAUUAAUUCGAUGCAACGCGUAGAACCUUACCUGGGUUUGACAUGGAUCGGGAGUGCUCAGAGAUGGGUGUGCCUCUUUUGGGGUCGGUUCACAGGUGGUGCAUGGCUGUCGUCAGCUCGUGUCGUGAGAUGUUGGGUUAAGUCCCGCAACGAGCGCAACCCUUGUUCACUGUUGCCAGCACGUUAUGGUGGGGACUCAGUGGAGACCGCCGGGGUCAACUCGGAGGAAGGUGGGGAUGACGUCAAGUCAUCAUGCCCCUUAUGUCCAGGGCUUCACGCAUGCUACAAUGGCUGGUACAGAGAGUGGCGAGCCUGUGAGGGUGAGCGAAUCUCGGAAAGCCGGUCUCAGUUCGGAUUGGGGUCUGCAACUCGACCUCAUGAAGUCGGAGUCGCUAGUAAUCGCAGAUCAGCAACGCUGCGGUGAAUACGUUCCCGGGGCU
rnacentral:rRNA from 1 species